AUCUUUAUAGUUUAUUUAAAACAUUACUUUUUCAAAGUAAAAAAGAAUUUAAAAUUCUAAAGAUA
rnacentral:tRNA from 1 species